rnacentral:lncRNA from 1 species
CGGUGCUCCAGCAUGGCCACAGUCAAAUGAAACAAGUAAAAGAGUAAAGAGUAAAGAUCUUCACUGCAGACUAGUUAUAAAAGCUGGUCCGCAGAGAAAGGAUUUCCGGUUUGGCAGAAAAAUAAAACCAGAACUUGGCUGACUGAUUCGCUUCCUCUCAACACACAUUCGUUUGGAGUUAUUUUUAUGUAUAGUUAUAAGUGGUGACCCCGAAAUAGAAAAUACAGAAUCAUGACAAGCGAGAACGUCUUUGCACUGAAGCUGCCACGAUUCUGGCCAAAGGUGGGCGAGGUCUGGUUCGCAAAAGCUGAAACGUAUUUCAACAUGAAGAAGAUCACUUCGAGCCUGACAAAACAUUCCUACGCAACAGUAAUCCUGAAUGAGGAUAGAGCAACGAGGAUGCUAGACAUCCUAACUAGACCACCGGCUACAAAUAGACUCCGUGAAACAUCCCGGCUUCUGAACCAAUGGACAGGAAUCUGGCAUUAGUGCCCGUUGGUGAGUCGCAUUUUUAUUUUGCUUCGAGAUUACGGACAGUUCGCGAAAACGGAUGAUAAACUUUAAAAUGCAUUGUAUAGUCCCUCCUUUUCUCCUAUUUAGUGGUAAAAAGAAGAAAAAAAAACAUUCCACAACAAGCGUAGGAGUGGCUGUGUUGUAAGUAGCUUGCUUACGAACCACAUGGUUCCGGGUUCAGUCGCACUGCGUGGCACCAUGAGCAGAUGUCCUCAACUAUAGCCUAGGACCGACCAAAGCCUUGUGAGUGGAUUUGGUAGACGGAAACUGAAAGAAGCCCGUUGUAUAUAUGUGUGUGUGUUAUAGAGAGCGAGGCCAAACUUUAACAGCCGCCAAUGGCUUCACAAUCAGUGUACGAACGCCUCAUUGUCUCUCUUCACAUCAGCUCACAAGCAUAUUCAUGAGCAUGCACCGUCGCCGAUGUCCAUCAACCUAUUAUCGAAGCUGACGAGCUGGCAGAAUCGUUAGCACGCCGGGCGAAAUGCGUAGCCGUAUUUCGUCUGCGUUUCUGAGUUCAAAUUCCACCGAGGUCGACUUUGCCUUUCAUCCUUUCGGGGUCGAUAAAUUAAGUACCAGUUACGCACUGGGGUCGAUGUAAUUGACUUAAUCCGUUUGUCUGUCCUUGUUUGUCCCCUCUGUCUUUAGCCCCUUGUGGGUAGUAAAGAAAUAUAUUAUCGAAGCUGACUUCAAACCCACUCAUUUCUAGUCGAUCUUCAAGGGGACUAGUUAUCGAGCUGGUUCGCAGAGAACGGACUUCUGGUCCGGUGGAGAAUGCGACCCGAGCUUAAGUGGCUGAUCGUACUCUCUCUCACGUUGUAGAUGAAGUACCGAUCUUGUUAGCUUGUGUAAUUGUACCACCAAACAGUAGUAAAAUAAACUUCAGUCAACCCUGAUUCCUUUAACCUGGAAUUUCCUGUAUAUAUUUUACCGGACAAAGGAAAUCUGGCCGAUCUUAGCCCUGAAGUUUAGAUUCUCUGUUAAAUUGCUUCUGGUCCCACCCCACCUCUUGUACAUCCCUAAUUUCUAUACAGCACACUUUAGGAAAUUUCUACCUACUUCUUUUCUGUGUUCUAAGUAUGGCCAUUUCAUUUAUGGUAAAAAGAUCCCAUUUUCUUUGCUAAGCGUUCUCAAGGCCAGCUUUGACUUCUAUUUUUGAGAUUUCUUCAUGAUUUUCAAAACAGAUUUAAAAGUAAAGCACAUUAGUUCACAGUAAAUGUUUAUUUCUGCAGUUCUUGUUGGUAUUAGAAUGCACCCCUCUGUGUCUUAUACUGUUUCUUUGUUAUUUCAGAAAAUCGAAGAAUAUUGGACUAAAAUAAUCGCUCACAUCAGAUGCAACAGCAAUAUUUACCAUCUCUUAAAGACUGAUGAAAGAGAUACAGAUGAGACACAACUUCACUUUAAUAAAUCUAUGGAAGAAUUACUCAGAAAUAUUUUCACUCGGUGGAUUUAUUAGCAUCGUUUUUUUUUUUGCUGUAUAGAAUGAAUGUGUAUAUAAGUUGAUUUUUGGCAUUCUAAUUAAAGCUGGAAAAUUUCUCAAAUGUGUUAACAUCUUUAUGUAUCAACAGCAAUAGAAGAAUUUCUUAUGGGUAGAAUAUAUAAAAAUGAAAAAAUGAGACAUGGUAUAUCGUGGUGAGAGAAGAAAUAAUCUGGAGAAUGAAUUAUGUGCCUCCGUGCUGGUGGCACGUAAAAAGCACCAACUGAUCGUGGUUGUUGCCAGCCUCACCUGGCAUGUAAAAAGCACCCACUACACUCACAGAGUGGUUGGCGUUAGGAAGGGCAUCCAGCUGUAGAAACACUGCCAGAUCAGACUGGGCCUGGUACAGCCUCCUGGCUUCUCAGACCCCUGUUGAAC